GUGAUACCCCUCAGCCAAUGCUCUGCGCCUGAAGGUGUCCUCCUCCUCUCUCCUGAAAGCCGACUUUCGCUUCUUCGACGACGGCGCAUCGAGCAGUGACUCCGAGAUUCCGCUGCGGCGACGGCGGGGUAGGAGGAAGAGGAGGAAGGAGAGGAAGAAGGUGUGGAUGAAGAGGAGGAAGGCUCUUAGGGUUUUGAGGAUCGGGAUUAUGCGGUUGCUGGCUCCGGAGGUCAGCUGCUCCAUCUCCGCCGUCGACAUGGCCAAGGAAU
rnacentral:lncRNA from 1 species